CGAGAUCCACCACCUCUAUUCUCCCUCUCUCCCCCUCUCUCAAAAAGAUAGGCCCUCGAUUCGACACUUCUGCCAUGGUGGAUCGCUUUCGUUCUCUGCAGUUCCUCCCCCAUUGACUGGACGUGCAAUACUUUAGAUUUUACAAUACCUUUUGCAGGUUUUGAUUUUUUGGAGUAGGAAAGGGGGGUAGAGGUGGACGCUAGGAUCAGUGAUAUCACAACGAGAAAGCACGUCUAUUGGAAGAGAUAACUGAUCAAUAUACGAGAUCUGGCUUUCACAAACAUGAAAAGCACAUAACUGCACAACAUAGGCAUAGCUCGUGCUCUUGUUUAUUUCCUGUGUCAAUCUAUGUUGAGUAGUUUGGGCAAGGGCUGAUAGUAGUCUGGUGCAGAAACUCAGGUAAUUUUGUUGUUGGUCAACUGAUGCUUGAUUCAUUGCAAUAGCUCCGAUCUAAGGUAAUCCAUUUACCUUUUCCUAUUCUGCAUACAUUUUUUCUUCACCUUUUCCUAUUCUGAAUGUUAAAUACAGUCAAUUGAUUAGUGUGGCCAUGAACCUUUUUCUUUACUUAUUACAGUCCUAGCUAAUUUUGCAUGUCAAGUAAAUUAAAAAAAUAUUUUGUCAAUUCUGCCAAAAUUCUUAAUUUCUGAAUUUUAAUCUAAAAAGUUUGCACAAGAAUAGUACUCUUCGAUUAUGACCUGUGUCCUCAAUUUUUUCUACACUGUAAAAGCAUAGAUUUUUAUAAUAUCUGCUACACUAUAAUAUAUAGUACGAGCAGUGAUCAGAAAAGGUUUUCAUCUAUAUUGUUUAUCAUUCUUAAAAGUUACUGUAAGUUUCGUUCCCUAUUUCAGGUAGCCCUAGGUGUGGUCUAUAUAGAAUGUACCUGGGGAACCAUUCAAGGUUGGAGGAGAACGAGGAUAGUGGCUACAUGACAACCUUGAGUUCGUUGCCAAGAAGGUACGUAAGGAGCAAAGCAGAAUUAGUAUGCACAGUGUCCUCGAGUGGUGGAUUGCAAGUGAUGUCAGUUAAGUUUCAGGUGCCUUCCCCAUUGGUGCCGACCAGGGAAAGCAUUUCGUGAGGUACUGUAGGUAGAACGCUGACGGAACAUGGGCCAUUGUUGACAUCUAGCUGGACAGCCUGCGCCCCAGCUUCGUCCUCAAGUGCAGGCACCUGCCAUCACGAUGUCUGAUCCAGGGAAUGCCUAAUGGCUAUUCAAAGGUCUGUAGUAUGUACAUGAUUGAAAUUUUCAGUUUUCACACAUUGUAGUAGAUGACAUGUUAUAUUGAUCACAUGUGCUCUAGCACCAAUAUCAACGCAUAGUAUCGGUACACUUGAGCUUGGAGACUAUCUUUGUUGGGUUCAUCACCCAAAGUAAAAAGCACUUCCUUUAUUCAUAUAUAGUUCAUCAUCAUUCCCAUUAUAUGCAAUUUCAACACUUUGGGUAAUAUUCUCUGUGAUAGAAUUGAUUUGCACCUCGCAGGUGUUAAGCCAAGAUGAGACACCAUCCUUUUGUAGUUUGGUGUUUGGUACUAUAAAGUUUUCAUUAUGAUGCUAACGGCUUAUUUAUCUUACAUGCUAGCUGUACUAUCAAAAGCAUGGAUGCAAAGGACCUUAAUCUGUCAAGGAGGUGAGGAGAUGAUGUACCAUGUAUCAUUAGUGGAUGGCCACACAAAAAAAAUAGUAUUACUAUGUAAUGACUGAAAUUUCAAUGAUGUGGCUUGAUGUGAGAGUAUAGAAUUAACCAUUAAUGAUUGUUAGUCUGUACAAUCUAUAUAGGUCAUAUAGAUUUUGUCAUUAUGAACCACACUUUUAAGAUCGUUUGUUAAUGGUAUAACAUAUCUCAAACUUCAAUUA